rnacentral:rRNA from 1 species
AUGCUCCGCCUCCGAAGCUGCCUCCUCGCCCAACUCCUCUCGCCGCGCUCCGCCUCCCCCCUCUCCCCUCUCCACCGACUCCUCUCCGCGGCCGCGGCCGCGCCCGCCUUUUCCCCAGACCCUAGCAUCUUCGCCGUGGAGGAGUACCUCGUCUCCACCUGCGGCCUCACCCGCCCGCAGGCCCUCAAGGCCACCCCCAAGCUCUCCCACCUCAAGUCCCCCGCUAACCCCGACGCCGUCCGCACCUUCCUCGCCGGCCUCGGCCUCUCCGGCGCCGAUGUCGCCGCCCUCGUCGCCAGCGACCCGCAGCUCCUCUGCGCCAGCGUGGAGAAGACCCUGGCCCGUAACGUCGACGAGCUAACCGGCCUCGGUCUCUCGCGUCCCGACAUCGCGCGGCUCAUCUCGCUCACGUCCGCCGGCGGCCAUUUCCGCUGCAGAGCCAUCGUCUCCAGGCUGCAGUACUACCUGCCCCUCUUCGGCUCCCCCGAGAACCUCCUCCGGGCUCUGAGCCACAGUUUCUACCUCAUCGGCGCCGACAUCGAGAGGAGGAUCAAGCCCAACGUCGCGCUCCUGCAGGAGUGCGGGCUAGCUGCUUGUGAUAUUGCCAAGCUGUGCCGCUCCAAACCGAGGAUGCUCAUCACCAGACUGGAAAGCAUCCAGGCGAUGGUGGAGUGUGCAGAAGGCCUUGGUGUGCCCCGUGGCUCUCCAAUGUUCAAGCAUGCGCUGGAUGCUGUCUCAUUCAUAAGUGCGGAGAAGAUCGCCACCAAAGUGGACUACCUGAAGAAGACGUUCAGGUGGUCAGAUGCUGAGGUGGGCAUGGCCUUGUGUAGGUCUCCAAUGAUGCUGAGGCAUUCUAUGGAUGCACUGCAGAGCAAAUCAGAGUUCCUUAUCUCCGAGGUCGGGUUGGAACCGGAGUACAUCGCUCAUCGGCCGGCAAUGCUCAAUUAUAGCCUGGAUGGCCGGCUCAGGCCCCGGUACUAUGUUGUGAAGUUUCUCAAGGCAAAUGGAUUGCUAGAUCGCGGCAGGGACUACUAUUCAGUUUUCAGUUAUGUCGAGAAGGUAUUUGUUCAGAGGUACAUAUGCCCUUACAAGGAUGCUGCGCCACACCUCGCUGAAGACUAUGAUGCUGCACACAGGGGGGGAGUGCCAGCUAAUUUCAAAUUCACAUGA